GACGAACGCUGGCGGCGUGCUUAACACAUGCAAGUCGAACGGAAAGGCCUCUUUCGGGGGGUACUCGAGUGGCGAACGGGUGAGUAACACGUGAGUAACCUGCCCUUGACUUUGGGAUAACUUCAGGGAACUGGGGCUAAUACCGGAUAGGAGCUCCUGCUGCAUGGUGGGGGUUGGAAAGUUUCGGCGGUUGGGGAUGGACUCGCGGCUUAUCAGCUUGUUGGUGGGGUAGUGGCUUACCAAGGCUUUGACGGGUAGCCGGCCUGAGAGGGUGACCGGCCACAUUGGGACUGAGAUACGGCCCAGACUCCUACGGGAGGCAGCAGUGGGGAAUAUUGCACAAUGGGUGGAAGCCUGAUGCAGCAACGCCGUGUGCGGGAUGACGGCCUUCGGGUUGUAAACCGCUUUCGCUCAUGACGAAGCUUUGUGUGACGGUAGUGGGUAAAGAAGCACCGGCUAACUACGUG
rnacentral:rRNA from 1 species